rnacentral:rRNA from 1 species
GAUGAACGCUGGCGGCGUGCCUAAUACAUGCAAGUCGAGCGAACAGACGAGGAGCUUGCUCCUCUGACGUUAGCGGCGGACGGGUGAGUAACACGUGGAUAACCUACCUAUAAGACUGGGAUAACUUCGGGAAACCGGAGCUAAUACCGGAUAACAUGUUGAACCGCAUGGUUCAACAGUGAAAGACGGUCUUGCUGUCACUUAUAGAUGGAUCCGCGCCGCCUUAGCUAGUUGGUAAGGUAACGGCUUACCAAGGCAACGAUGCGUAGCCGACCUGCGAGGGUGAGCGGCCACACUGGAACUGAGACACGGUCCAGACUCCUACGGGAGGCAGCAGUAGGGAAUCUUCCGCAAUGGGCGAAAUCCUGACGGAGCAACGCCGCGUGAGUGAAGAAGGUCUUCGGGUCGUAAAGCUCUGUUAUUGGGGAAGAACAAAUGUGUGAGUAACUAUGCACGUCUUGACGGUACCUAAUCAGAAAGCCACGGCUAACUACGUG